GCCAGGCUUGACUGUAGAGGCUGGCUGCCCACAAGGAUCGAUCUAGACUAGACUCGCAUGCCUGAAAAAAGGCCGUGCCAAGUCAAGUUCGAACAAAUUUGGGAGUUGGAGAGUCAUGGCGAGAGUCAUGGCGAGACAAGCUGUUUAUCAUUACAAUGUCUGUCAAGUAAAGUACAAUGAUAGAUGCAGUGUAGGCAUAGACAUCAAAGCAGAUCAAUAAAUUCGAAUCUUGUUCCUACGUGA